rnacentral:rRNA from 1 species
UGGGGAAUAUUGGACAAUGGGCGCAAGCCUGAUCCAGCCAUGCCGCGUGAGUGAUGAAGGCCCUAGGGUUGUAAAGCUCUUUUGUGCGGGAAGAUAAUGACUGUACCGCAAGAAUAAGCCCCGGCUAACUUCGUGCCAGCAGCCGCGGUAAUACGAAGGGGGCUAGCGUUGCUCGGAAUCACUGGGCGUAAAGGGUGCGUAGGCGGGUCUUUAAGUCAGGGGUGAAAUCCUGGAGCUCAACUCCAGAACUGCCUUUGAUACUGAAGAUCUUGAGUUCGGGAGAGGUGAGUGGAACUGCGAGUGUAGAGGUGAAAUUCGUAGAUAUUCGCAAGAACACCAGUGGCGAAGGCGGCUCACUGACCCGAUACUGACGCUGAGGCACGAAAGCGUGGGGAGCAAACA